rnacentral:lncRNA from 1 species
CCGGCCCUGGGCUAAAGCCCGUAAAGCAUGGGCUUUAGGCGUCAAGAAAUAUAGGAACAUAGGGGCGCCAAAGUUUACAAUAUUUGCUCUGGUCUAGUGGUCUUUGUUAUUGGCAUCUGGUCAUAAAGGUAACGGGUUCGAAUCUCAAGUCUUUUAUUCUUAUUUUUUUUUAUAACAUUUUGUCCCUUUUCUAAUUAUAGAUUUGAUUCUCUUUUACGGAAGAUUUAGGUAACAUCAUUUAUUAGGAGAUUUCCAUUUAUUAGCCCUUUUUGUUAUGUAUUUCUUUAUAACUCUCUUUUCUAUUUCUCUAUAUCCAUAAGAUAAUGUUAUCAAAAUUGGCUCUAAUCGGUAAUCCUUCAACCAUAACAAUCUUUUUUUUAAACAAAAAAUCUAAUUAUUAGUUUCUCAUAUUACACAUUUUAGUGUGAUUAAUCUUCUUUGUCAAAAUAGUUGUAUCUUUUAAGUCCUUUUCUCUUUUUUUUUGGGAAAGUUCUUGUAGUAUUUUAUAAACUUUUGAAGUUCAAUA